rnacentral:rRNA from 1 species
ACGGCUCAGUAACACGUAGCUAACGUGCCCUUUGGGAUAGGAAUACUCCCGGGAAACUGGGGCUAAUUCCCAAUAGGUGAAGAACUCUGGAAUGAGUCUUCGCCAGAAAGGACUCCUGCACUAUGCUUGCAGGUUUCGCCCAAGGAUGGGGCCGCGACCGAUCAGGUUGUUGGUGAGGUAAUGGCUCACCAAGCCUUUUACCGGUGCGGGCCGUGGGAGCGGGAGCCCGGAGAUGGGCACUGAGACAAGGGCCCAGGCCCUACGGGGCGCAGCAGUCGCGAAAACUUUGCAAUACACGUAAGUGUGACAGGGCUAUCCCGAGUGCCGUCCGCUGAGGGGGGCUUUUACCCAGUCUAGAACGCUGGGGGAAUAAGGAGAGGGCAAGUCUGGUGUCAGCCGCCGCGGUAAUACCAGCUCUCCGAGUGGUGUGGAUGUUUAUUGGGCCUAAAGCAUCCGUAGCUGGCUAGGUUAGUCCCUUGUUAAAUCCACCGAAUUAAUCGUUGGAUCGCGGGGGAUACUGCUUGGCUAGGGGACGAGAGAGGCAGACGGUAUUUUUGGGGUAGGGGUGAAAUCCUAUAAUCCCAGGAAGACCACCAGUGGCGAAGGCUGUCUGCUAGAACGCGCCCGACGGUGAGGGAUGAAAGCUGGGGGAGCGAACCGGAUUAGAUACCCGGGUAGUCCCAGCUGUAAACGAUGCAGGCUAGGUGUUUGGACGGCCACGUGCCGUUCUAGUGCCGCAGGGAAGCUGUUAAGCCUGCCGCCUGGGGAGUACGAUCGCAAGAUUGAAACUUAAAGGAAUUGGCGGGGGAG